rnacentral:rRNA from 1 species
UGCGCUAAUUUGGGAGUUAGAGCCCUUCUAAAGCUAAAUAUGAUGACGUGACCGAUAGCACACAAAGUUACCGCGAGGGAAAGGUGAAAAAGCAACCAUGCAGAAUGGGUUGAAACAGAAGUGAAAGCGCUACUGGGAUAAGGGCUGGGAAUUGCUUGUGUCAUUUGCGCGUGCUUUAGUGCUGUGCUUGUGAACGGCAUGCUUCAGUUAGGAUGGGGAGAACAGGGCCUUGGGAAUUCGGCUAGAUCCGUCUAGUGUUGUAGCCCUGGUGCCAAUGGAGCCCCUUCUGACUUUUGAGUGUCUUGCGAUUGUCAGCCGCCCGUCUUGAAACACGGACCAAGGAGUGCACCUUGCAUGCAAGUCGAAGGGACUGUAAUCCUGGAGGCGUAGCGAAAGCGAAGGCCACGAACCCGUAAGGUGUCGGUGGCACCCGCCUUGUGUGAGGUAGAGCAUGUAGGGUGCGACCCGAAAGAUGGUGAACUAUGCCCGGGUAAGGUGAAGCCAGUGGAAACGCUGGUGGAGGCCUGUAGCGGUUCUGACGUGCAGAUCGAUCGUGUAACCUGGGUAUAGGGGCGAAAGACCUAUCGAACCGUCUAAUGGCUGGUUCCCCCCGAAGUUUCCCUCAGGAUAGC